rnacentral:lncRNA from 1 species
ACAAGCUCGGCGAGGCCAAGGACUACACCGUCGAGAAGGCGACGGAAGCCAAGGACACCGUGGCGCAGAAGACGAGCGAGACCGCUGAGGCUACCAAGAACAAGCUGGGAGAGUACAAGGACGCCUUGGCCGGGAAGACGCAGGAGGCCAAGGACACCACCAUGCAGAAGGCCCAGCAGACGAAGGACGCCGCCGCCGAGAAGGCGAGGCAAGCCAAGGACGUGACACAGCAGAAAGCCGGCGUGUACACCGACGCCACCAAGGGGACCGCGCAGGAAGCCA